rnacentral:rRNA from 1 species
AGUGAAGCGGGAUGAGCUCAAAUUUAAAAUCUGGCUGGUUUACUAGUCCGAAUUGUAGUUUAAAGAAGCGUUUUCGGUGGCAGCCUGGGUAUAAAUCCUUUGGAACAGGGUAUCAUAGAGGGUGAGAAUCCCGUCUUUGACUCAGUGCAUGCUACUAUGUGAUACGUUUUCAAAGAGUCGAGUUGUUUGGGAAUGCAGCUCAAAAUGGGUGGUAAAUUUCAUCUAAAGCUAAAUAUUGGCGAGAGACCGAUAGCGAACAAGUACCGUGAGGGAAAGAUGAAAAGAACUUUGAAAAGAGAGUUAAACAGUGCGUGAAAUUGUUGAAAGGGAAACGCUUGACACCAGUCAUGCGAGCGGAAAAUCAGUCUUUUGCAGUGGGGAGUGUGUGUGGGUUCGGACCGCAAGGCCGGCCUGCGCUUCAUCUCUGCUGUAAGUGAUGCACUUUUUCGUUUGCAGGCCAACAUCAGUUUCUUCUGCUGGACAAAACUCUUGAGAAGGUAGCAGCUUAGGCUGUGUUAUAGCUCUUGAGCGAUACAGUGGAGGAGACUGAGGUUUUCGCAGCGCGUGCUUUCGGGCAAGGCUGAUUGGGUGCUAUGGGAUCGUUCGGUGUACAAUGCAUGCAUUUUGCGCCGUGUCUUUUCUAUACUCGCUCAACUCGGCUCUCCGCGCUUAGGAUGUUGGCUUAAUGGUUUUAAUCGACCCGUCUU